rnacentral:rRNA from 1 species
GACGAACGCUGGCGGCGUGCUUAACACAUGCAAGUCGAACGGAAAGGCCCUGCUUUUGUGGGGUGCUCGAGUGGCGAACGGGUGAGUAACACGGGAGUAACCUGCCCUUGACUUUGGGAUAACUUCAGGAAACUGGGGCUAAUACCGGAUAGGAGCUCCUGCAGCAUGGUGGGGGUUGGAAAGUUUCGGCGGUUGGGGAUGGACUGGCGGCUUAUCAGCUUGUUGGUGGGGUAGUGGCUUACCAAGGGUUUGACGGGUAGCCGGCCUGGGAGGGUGACCGGCCACAUGGGGACUGAGAGACGGCCCAGACUCCUACGGGAGGCAGCAGUGGGGAAUAUUGCACAAUGGGCGGAAGCCUGAUGCAGCAACGCCGCGUGCGGGAUGACGGCCUUCGGGUUGUAAACCGCUUUCGCCUGUGACGAAGCGUGAGUGACGGUAAUGGGUAAAGAAGCACCGGCUAACUACGUG